CGGGCUGAGCACUGAUGGUGAGAACUAGCUCAAUAACUGAGACAUUUAACAGUAUCAAUGCUAGGAAUUUUAAGGUUAUAAAUACAAGACACCCGUCUUACUAAAUCCCUUUCUGGAAGCUAUGUUAUUGAAAAAUUAUUCUUUUUAUAACACUUUUUUGUAUUGUUCUGGCAAAACUGAAGAUGGAAAACCGUCCCUGAAAGAGGUUCUUAACUCAAGAU